AUGAUGAGGGAGGAAACCGUCGAUGCGUUCAAAUGGUUAUUUCAGUCUUUCAGUUGUGCAAUGCAUGGAAAAAGGCCGUCGGCAAUUCUGACAGAUAACUGUUAUCAGAUGGAAGUGGCAAUCGCGGAGGUGUGGCCUGGUACGGUUCAUAGAGUUUGCAAGUGGCAUGUACUGAAGAAUGCUAAAGAGAACUUUGGGAACAUAUAUAGCAAGAGGAGCACUUUCAAGAAUGAGUUUCAUAGAGUUUUGAAUGACCCGCAAACAAUAGAUGAGUUCGAGAGAGCUUGGAUUGAUUUAGUGAAAAGGUAUGAACUGGAGUCUAGCACAUACAUGAAACGGAUGUGGGAUAUGAGGACACAAUGGGCUCCUGUUUACUUCAAAUCACAUUUUUUUGCUAAAAUGUCGACCACUCAGAGAAGUGAGAGUAUGAACCAUGUUCUUAAGAAGUAUGUGAAGCCAUCUUCUCCGAUGAAUGUCCUUGUCAGGAAGUAUGAAAGUUUCUUUUAUGACAGAAUACAGGAGGAAGACGCCGAAGAGUUCCACACAUCUGAUAUAAGAUAA
rnacentral:rRNA from 1 species